GGCACCGCGCGGAUGCGCGCGGCCUCCUCCGCAAGCUCCCUUCCAGAUGUCUUCAGCCAAUAGAUGAGUCUUCUUCUCCCGGUCCCGGGCACCGGAACAAAUCGGAACAGGGUCUGUUCGUGGGGGCGGAGCCUGUCGCAACCCUGGUCCUUUCCACAAGCUCCAAGAUCGUGACACCGCCCAGGAGGCGGGCACUCAAGCCGAAGGUAUACUGGAGUCUGUUGCUAGUUCUACAUUCCUAAACUGUGGAGAAGAUGGUUUUCCAUUUGUACCAGUUCAUGGCCUGCUUCUCAGGUCCAUGCCUUUGCUCCAUGUCACUGACAAGCCAAGACCUGCAAGUUAUAUUCUCUGACUUCUCCAUGAGUGAGAAGAGGUUGGAAGCAAAUGAAGGUCAUUAUGCCAGAGGGACACCAGAGGGGAAGCCCAGAGCUUCAGACGCCAAUGAGAGAUUGGAAGGCAGUAAGUAGAACAGUGUCUCCCAGUCCUGGCUUCCCUGUCAGACUGUAAACUGG
rnacentral:lncRNA from 1 species